UAGAUGGAGUGUUCCAUGGUCUUUCUAUUUCUUCGUUCAGUAACUCUCCCAAGCACUCACCUUGUGCUUGGGGAUCUGGUGGGCCUAAGUGCAAGGCUUACAAUGACAAAGUGGUCCCUGCCUGCCAGGUAUUCACAUUUUGGAGGGGGAGAUGAACAAAGGUAUGAAAGACAUGUGAAAAAAAAAAAAAAAAAGCCAGAAAUAUAAUUGUGAAAAGAAUGAGUGUGAUGUGAGGACAGGUUGGGGAGUCACUGGAGUAUAUGAAAGGCUGCAGUGAGGUGACAUUUACUGGAGCCAGAAUGACAAAAGGAAUCCACACUGCACAUGUCUGCAGUGUGUCAGGGAGAAGAUAUUGCUGGUGCAGAGAAUAGGAGACAAAAUUGUGUUUGUCCAUUAGAAACAUUAGAAAGGUGGAAAAUGUGCCUGUAGGAUUCUGGAAGGGGAGAGGCAGGGAGAAGGCAGAUCAUAGACCAGAUGCUGGGACCUAUUAGACCAUUAGUUAUCCAUUCCUCUCUGACAGCAUUAUUUGAAUACCUUGAAUCUUAAAACUAUGAAUAUUUAAUAGCUCACAUUUUUCUGGGAGAAAAUCCAGGCACAGCAUAGCUGUGUGAUACUGCCUCAAAGGCUCUAUGAAGCCAGGGCUGUGGUCUCAAUGGAGACUGAACAGGGUGAUAUUUUACUCCCAAGCUCACUCACAUGGGCAAUAUCAGAAUUCAGUUUGAACUGAGAGCCUAUUUCAAUCUUUUGACCAGGGAACGUAUAUCUUUCUCUCCUAUAUAGGGGUCUCAUAGGGUAGCCCCUAAGUUAAGUAUUUGAUCUCCCCAUUUCCAGGGUUCAUGGAGAGACAGAGGGAGCAAAUGAGGACAGAAAGCAGAGAGUUAGACACACACACAGAGAGACAGAGAGAGUAGAGAUACAGAAAGAAGGGAGGAGAGAGAGGGCAGGAGGGAGACAGCGGAGUAGAGAGGAGAGAGAGAUGGAACAAACACAGGACAAAGUAAGAAGAAAGUGACAGAAUUUUUGUCAUGAAGUCUUGAAAUUGAUCUCCCAUCACUCCAACUGGGUUUAACUGUUUAGGAGGCAGUCACUAACAGUGUAGUGGUUUUAUAAGGAGUGAAGUUUCUUGACUGGACAUGCAUCACUGUCUGCAUCCCCUGGGAAAGUCCAGGAGAGUAUGUUGAGCAGGCAUACCCCAGAAGCGAGAACAGUGGCCAUUUCCAAAAUGGCUGUAAGUGAUGAACGUCCAGCCUCACUCAUUAUUAGAAAAGUGAACAUAGGACAAUGGAUUUGUCCACCAAACCAGCAAAAACGUUUCACCAAACUCCUGAAACUAGACCCCUUUUUGGGCAUUAGAGCUAAGGGCACUUAUGUUUCAGUAGUGAGAGGGACCUCAACUCUCUUACUGGAGGGUGAUUGUUGCCAUGAUUUCAGUUGCCAUCAGCUUUGAUGAUGGUGAGAGGUUCUGCUUUUAGAAACCAAAGACAGUGAUUAGAAAUUUGCACAAAGAAUUCAUGUAGGCAUUUGUGAUCUGUGCUUGACUCUAAGAGCCUUCAAUGGGACACCUCCUUCUCAGACAGAGAGGAUCAAACUCAACACCCAAAAUUCAAACAGCCCAGUUAUGAAAUGGGCAGAAGAUAUGAAUAGACACUUUUCCAAGGAAGACUUCCAGAUGGCAAACAGACACAUGGAAAGAUGCUCAACAUCACUCAUCAUUAGGAAAUGCAAAGCAAAACCAUGAUGAGAUUCCACCUCACACCUGUUAGAAUGGCUAAAAUUAACAACAGAAAAGACAUCAGUUGUUGGUGAGGAUAUGGAGAAAGGGGAACACUCUUGCGCUGCAGGUUGGAAUGCAAACUCGUGCAGCCACUUAGGUAUGGUUUAUUUAAGGAAAAUGUUAGAGAGUAUUCCUUCUGUGGUUACUUGUUCUCAUUUCUGUGUACUAUUUAGGGCACUGUCAUCAGGUGAAGAUUAUUCUUUAUGAUGAUUAGAGUAAAAAAGGUUGACAACCAAUAUAAAUGGAUAUUUAAAGAUAUGGACUUGCAUUUACCCUGUUAAAAUGAAAACAAUACAAUAACAAAAACAAACAAAAACAAAAACAGUUUACUCAACCAAAUAACCUAAUUCACAUUGAGAUUCCACUCUGAAAAUAAUGUUCAUAUGUAGAAAAAUAACCUAGGCUGUGAUUGCCUUCAAAUGCCAGGAUUUUUAUUUUCUUCCUUAUCCUUAUUUUGUCUUUCUAAAUAGCACAUCAAGCUACUGGAAAAUGUAACAUGGUUUGUAAGCUGCUUAGAGUUUGGAUUCAGGAUCCACAAGAUAGUGUGUGUCAAGGUUAGGCAAGGACCAUCUCCUCCUGCAGUUCCAUCCUGGUCAUGGAAAUGUUGUGGUGAAAUGCUGGCUUCCAGGCUGAGAUAUUCCCUGUUGUCCACCUGGACAAAUCUAUUCUUUUCUCAGACCUCGAUGGCAGGUCCACUUAGGGUCAUAGUCCAGGCUAGGAUUAGGAAAAGCACCCAGGAGGCACUAGGAGUUGAACUACCAGCAGCACAGUGGUCUCCAAGGUGGGCUGGGUUGAGGGCGCAUGGUCUGAUACCAGUCAGGCUUAAGAUUUGAAUUCCAGAGCCACAAGAUUGUGUGGACCAGGGUUAGACAAAGUCUUUGGAUCCCCUCCAGCAGCUCUAUUCCAGCCAUGGAAAUGUCAUGGCAAUAUUCUGGCUUCCACACUGAGAUAUUCCCCGUUGGCCACUGGGACAACAUCUAUUCUUUUCCCAAACCUCCAUGUGGGCCCCCGUAGGACCAGAGCACUGCCAAAUGUUCAGGUUAGGUCCCAGGAGGCACCAGGGCCUAAAAGCUCACUAGUGCAAUGGUCUCCCCAGAACACUGAGUUGAAGGCACAUGGUAGGGUGCAGGUCAGGCUUAAUCUUUGGAUUCCAGGGCAGGUCUUAUCCAUGGCAAAGCUUAGAUUUGCCUUCCUGAUGCCCUGUAAGCAGUUCCUUCCCUGCUUUGGAAAUUGCAUAGCGAUUUUCCAAAUCCCAUGCUGAAUAUUCUUGCACUGUUUGUGGACCCCAAAACUGUCUGCUCUUAGACCAAGGAAUUGUACCCCCAUCAUGAAAGAGCAUUGGCUAGUGUUAUGGUUAGUUCCUGGAAGUUUUCAGGUACAGAACCAUACUAGUCCAGUGAUCUCCCAGAAGGGCAUAUUUGAGUGCGAUUAUUAGUGUGCUGGACAGGCACAGGAUUUGGGUGCAGUGGAUGGCCCAUUAUGUGUUCCAUGCUUAGCACUUUGCCCCACUUUCAGGCUUUAGAAAACUCAUGGUCAACUCCAGUGUUACUCGCUGAGUAUUUCAAUACCCAUCAUGUGGUCCAAAUCUGUUCUUUUGGUAAAAGGUGGACCCUCUUAGAAGCAGAGCCAUGGCUAAGGUUAAGGAUGGCUCCCUGGAAGUGCUAGAGACACAAACAACAACAAUGUGGUCAUCUGCCUUGAAGGCUGAGUUGAGGGUGCAUGGUUGGGUACAUGUCAACUUUUGGGUUUAAAUACAGGAGCCAGAAGAUUUGUGGGCCAAAGUUAUGUAAGGUCUUGGCAUCAUCUCGUGCAGAUCCACCCCUCCUUUGGAAAUGUCAUAGUGAAAUUCUGACUUUCACCCUGAGAUAUUCCCCAUUGGUCAUUGAACCUAAAUCUGUUCUUUUUGCACAUGUCCAUGUUGGGCUCCCUUAUGGCCAGAGCCUUGGCUGGGAUUAUCAUAAGGUCCCUGGAGGCUCCAGGGGCUGAAACCCCAAGACCACAGGGUUCUCCCUGGGGACUGUGGUGAGGGCGCAUGUCAGGGUGCGAGUCAGGCUUUGCCUUUGUGUUCAAGGACCAGCCCAAGGUAUGUGCCAAGCUUAGCUUUGGCCUCAGGACCCCCCUUGGGAAUCUCCAUCCCUGCUUUGCAAAUGGUCUGAUGAGUUUACAAGUUCCAUGCUGAAUAAUCUUGCACUGGUUAUGGGCACCAAAUCUAUUUUCUAUUCUCAGACCUACAGAUUGGUCCCCCAUAGGGAAAGAGCCUUGGCUAGGGUCAGGGUUAGGUCCAGGAAACUUCAGGGACAGAACCUACACCAAUACAGGGAUUUCCCAGCAGGGGUGAGUAAGUGCACCUGUUAGGGUGCGUAACAAUAAUAGGCUUUGGGUGCAGUGAACAGCCAAUUGUGUGUUCCAGGCUUAGAUUUAGGCACUGGAUCCCCUUUGAAGCUCCAUUCAGGGCCUGGAAAUCCCAAGGUCAAAUUCAGCAUACCUCACUCAAUAUUUCAGCACCCAUCAUGAGUCCCAAGUCUGUUCUUUUUUCAGACCUAGGAUGUGAUCCCUCUCAGAAGCAGAGACAUGGCUAGGGUUAGGGUUGGCUCACAGGAAGUGCUAGGGGCACAACCACCAACAGUGCCUUGAAUUUGCUGGAGGACUGAGUUGAGUGCUCAAGGGAGGCUGUGGGUCAGGCUUAGUCUUUGGGUUCAAGGGCCAGCCUAUGAUGUGGGCCAAGCUCAGGUCGGGCUUCAGGAUCCCCCUCGUGCAGCUCCAUCCUUACUUUGGAUAUGACAGGGUGAUUUCACAACAUCCAUGCUGAAUAAUCUGCAUCUGUUAUGGGCCCCAUAUCCAUUCCUUUCAGACCUGCAAAUUUGGCCCCCAUAAGGAAAGAUCCUUGGCUAGGGUCAGGGUUAGGUCCCAGGAGGUUUCAGGGACAGAACUGGUACCAGUGCACAGAUCUCCCUGGAAGGCUGAAUUGACCAUGCCUGAUAGAGUGUGGGAGAGGCAUGAGGAUUGGGUGCAUUGGACAGCCAAUUUUGAAUGCCAGGAUCAGCAUUUUUUGUAAACAUAACCCAAUUCUUGUCCUUAAUGAAGAACUCUUGCUUUAGGUAUAUCAAGUUUAAUGACAUUGUUUAUUAUCCAUCAAGAUCUUCUCAGGGUCCAUACAAAUUCAGUCUUUCAGAGUACUAUCUCUGGCUUGGAGAUGUCCAAUGUGGAUCAGCCCUUGUGACUGUGGGACAGGUUGAGCCAAAUGAUCCCUGGACUUCUGGUUUCAGGACUACUUAGACAUGUAGAGCCAUAGGGCCUUGGCAGUGGAUCACCCGAGACCAGUUUGUUUGGAGGCUGGACCAGACGGUAUUAGAAGGGAGCUGGCCUCCUUACUGCACCUAGGGGACAUGAAGAAACACAUCUCCAUGCCAUAUUGGUUUCACUCCCACUGUGGAAAUAUUGAAUGCCCUUUGGUCAUGGCUGUAGCCAUUCCAUCACCCUUACUGUGUCUCUGACUCUGCCUUCAUUCAUGCUUAGGAGCCAUGGAGCUGGCAUACACUCAGUGGGCUCCUAGGGAUGGAUGUUGUGUUCUCACUGUCCCGUGCUCAGUGACAGCCAUCAGCAUCGUAUAUACCAAAUGAGAAUAGCCCUCCUAUUCCUGAGCUUGGUGCUUGGCUGUUUGUAGCAAGGGGUGGGGGAGUGUAGACAGCUUGACCCAUUGCUCUGCCUGAUUGAGGUUUCUUCCCCCUGAAAGGCAGACAGUUCACACAAGAGCAGUAGCUGGUGAGCUGGUGAGCUCCAGAAGCUGGUGAGCCCAGAAACUGCCCUUGACAGGAAGUGGGCACCAAUGCCUCUCUCCACACUUUGGAGCCACAUCUGGGGCACCUCCCAGCUAAAACACUGUCAGAGCUCACUCCAUUUAAAGAUGGAGAAAGCAAGAAAGGCAGACCAAGUCCCAGGGCUCUCUAGGUCCUUCCGAAGGAAGAAGUCAGGCCUGGUGCCAACACAGCUCCCAAAUGGAGAUUCUAGGGAGCAUAUUUCCCUAAGACCUCUGGUGUUUCUUCUUCUUCCCACAGCCACGUUACCAGAGCUCUUGCUGGGCACUCACUUUUCCAUAGAAUUCCCCUUCCAAUCUUUGAAGAGUUCUGGUUUUCCUUAUUCAACUUCACACAUCUUUGCUCCUUCUCUAAAAACAAGGUUCUUCCCGCAAUCCAUUCAGAGUCAAUGUCUCCAAGUCCUAUCCUCUGCCUUCCACCUGGGAGUCUGGUCCAGUCCUUGUGACUGGUGGAGAGAUUUUUGCCACAGGGCUCCUAUUUAAAAGCCUUGUGACUGGCUUUCAGAAGGAUGCAGCCAUUCAGGGCAUUUUUAGCGGCCAAGCAAAGGAUGUUUCAUAUGUAGGCUGGGCCAGAGAUCUGGCCAGGGAGCUGGCAUCUUUCUGGGCUGAGGGUAAAUGAAACAAGACAUCUUCUUUCCAAGUGUAUCCCCAUUCCCACUGGAAGCGUUGAGCUUUGUCUCUCCUUGCAUUUCCUUUUCCUUUCUGUAUUUUGAUAAUUUUUUCUCCCUUAGGAGCCAUGGGGCCAUCACUCACUCAGCUGGCACUACUGGGUAGGCUGCAAACUCCCACUAUGCUCCUGUACUAAGUGAGAGCUAUCAGGCUUUGUUCUACCAAAGGAAAGAACACAUUUACUCCCUUGGUGCUUGGUGGUUGGCCUGCUGUGCUAUGUAAGGUAAAGGGGAGCCAGCUUGCCUGACUGACCUGGACGAUUGAGUUUUCUUCAUUCUGAGAAGCAGAAAGUUAGCACAUGGGCAACAUGAAUGGGAGGGGGUCAGCACUAGAAGAGUCCUUGCCAGGAUGGAGGGAACCAAAUCCUUGUUCCAGAAUCCUGAGCAAGAGCCAGCAGAACCCAACAGCUACAGCUCAAACACUGCUGCCUUGCUCAACUGAUUGAAAAAGGGGGAGGGAUACCCAAAGCCAUAAUUCACUGGUUCCUAUGGGAAAAAAUGCAGGCUUCUUGCUGACAGGGCUCCCAGAUGUAGUCCUUCAGAGGCUUCUUUUGGCCUAAGCCCACAGGCAUUUCUUAUUCCGGAUAUAACUUGGUUGAGAGGAGACUGCACUGGGUACUUCAUUCUCAACAUUCUCCAAAUCUCAUGCGUGAUGAAGAACUCUCGCAGUCUGUGUCUCUAUCUCCACCACUUAACCCUUUUUGUGAAGAAGCAUCCUGCAUAUAACUUAUUCAGAGUCAGUUUCUUAGAGCAAUAUCCUCUUGUUUCAGCUUGGGAAUUUGGUGGUAUCCUUGUGAUAUUGAUAUAGGUAUUGCUUUGGGUCCUUCUUAAUUUCAUUUUAUAAUUACAUGGCCACCCCCAAACCUAAGGUGUGUAAAGAUGCCCACGGAGAAUCCUUGAGGGUAGUUUAAGCCAGUGUUUAGGGGAGGAUCCUGCAUCCUGGGUGGGACAAGAGGAAGGGAUGUUAGAGAUAUCUCCUUCCUCAAUUAGACCUGUGCCCAUUUGAAUGGAGAACUUUGGCCUUGUAGUCAUUCCUCUCCCAUUGCUGCUUUUCUAACUUGCUCUCUGUUCACACAGAAAGACAAUGUGGCUGUCUAUACCCAGCCAUGUUCCAAGGAUUGGAAGUCAGUUUCAGUCAGUUCCUGAGCCAGUGGAGGACUCUCAGAGUCUGAUGUCUCAGAGAACAACUGACCCUCAUGUCCUCAAACUCUUCUUGCUUAGCGGGCUAUUAUAGGAAUAGUGAAUAACUGCUCUUCUUUUGAAUCAAGGGAUUCCCUGGAAUCCUUUCAGAGCCAGUGUCUCAGAGUCAUAUCUUUUCCUAUUAAGCAGGGAGUCUGGAACAAUUUUGGUGAGUGUGCAAUAGGUUUGGUCACAGGGGCUUUGGGAGUUGUGUUUCAGAAUUUGUAGACAUCGCCAGGCCUAGAGCAUUUGCAGGUGCCCACUGGAAAAUGCUUGUGUGUAGGCUAAGCCAGAGGUUUUAGGAAGGGAGCCAUCCUACUAUCUGCAUCAAGACUUAAUUAAGAGAGAUAUCUCCUUUGCAGAUGGAUGCUAUUCUCUUUGGAGAUGAAGAACUUUGGCACUGCUUGUACUCAUACACAUCCCAUUGCUGAUUUUCUAGCUAGGUCUCAGUUCAUGUUCCAGGACCAUAGGGCUGUUAUUAACACAGCCAUGACUAUAUGAAUGGUGCCAGAUUCCCAGUCAGUUCCUGUAAAUUGAAGGUUCUCUGGGUCUAAUAUCUAAGAGGAAACCUGGCCCUUCUGUCCCUGAGCACAUGGUGUUGCUUAGCUGGCUAGUGUAUGCACAAGCAUCACUAUCCAGUUGCCCUCCCUCCCCUCACUAAUAUAGAUCCAUUCAUUUUGAAGAACAGGCAGUUUUCAUGUGGGCAUGAUGCUCCAAGAUCUGAUCACCACAUAAAGUCCCCUUGGAUGGAAUUCUGUAUCAUGUGCUGCUUCCAAACACUUACCCAUCGGCUGGGAGUACAUCCCUGCUACAGCUGUAUCACCACUGCCCCUAUGUCCUGAUGGCAAGGAUAGAGCACAUAAGUAGAACCAGGUCUUUCCCUCUGAUUCUGAAAAACAAAAUCGGAAGGCUUCUUGAUGACAGGGCUUUCAGGUGGAACUUAUACAUGGCACUGUUGGCCAAAUCCUGCUGGUGUUUCUCUUUCCUGAGUCAGUCAGUGAACUGGGGAAGACUGUGCUAGUCACAUAACUUCCUAUAUUAUCUCAUUUUUAUCUCUGAUGCAGACUUCUGGGAUUCCCUCUAUAUGUUUUCACCCCUUUGCUCUAUUUUAGUGCUGAGCCCAUGCUGGGGUCCAUUCCAUGUGAUUGUCUUACUGUCAUAUCCUGGGCUCUCCACUGGGGUUCUGGUCCAUUUAUUGUGACUGUGGCAUAUGUUGUCCCAAAGGGCCCCAGGGUCUUUACAGGAUAGACUUCCCUGUAUGCUUGUUCAUCUCUGCAUGAGUCUCAAACUCAGGUUUCUGGCCAAGUAGACCUAUGUUUUUCUUUUUGUUUUGCCAUGAACAGACCCUCAGAGCCUCUUGGGUUUUGAAACAUCUUGAAAAGACGAGAAUAACUAUAAAAUGGGAAGUUGUUACAGUAUCUGAAUGAUGCUCAAGUCAGUAUCUAUUUAUUUUAAACCAGUGCAACCUUAAUAAUAUGGGAAUAGACAAAGCAACCCUGUUCUAGUUCGUUCCUCUGCAUUUCUCCAGGCAUACUGCACACUGGCCAGCAUCUUGACUAAGUUAUCUCCUCACAUAGUUUAUUCCUGGUCCUCUUACACAUCACAACAUGCAUAUCCAUUUCAUGUGAGGGUAAACAUGUGAAAGUACUUUAAUCCUCCAAAUGUGGGCUGGGAGAGGUGAACUGGUAAGGAGGCAAACACUAAGUGUUGCUCUAAUGGGUUCCACCCUAUCUGCCAGGCCCUGCCUUCUGCCACUGUCCUUGGGGCUGUUGUGGAACUAGUCCUGCCAGCCAGAACUAUCACUGUCGUUACUGUUGAGUAUGUUGAAGGAGGACAGUACUGCAUAGGCCAAUGCCAUGGCUGCCACACCAUGACCACAGAGUGGCUUUGCUGGGCCACUGAGGCUGCUAUGGAACUGCCUGAUGCACAGGGUUGUUCAUGCCUUGGCACCUGACCCAGAAACCUCAUUGUGGUGGUGACCUGCACCCACCACUGAUGCCUGUGGUCCUGCUGACCCCUCUGUGCCCCCAGAUGGAAGGUAAAUCCAAGUCUGAAUAAGUGCAAGUGCUGCCAUUAGCAGUGGCUGGGCUGCCUUGCUUGCUUGCCAGUGGAAGUGGGCUGCCCACUUCCAACAUGCACAGGCUUGUGUGAGAAUCUAUGCCUGGGCGCCAGUUGAGUGAGUGACAGCUCCAACACUCCUAAGUCUAAACAGGUACAUAGUUAGACAUAGAACCAUGGGAAGCAAGUGUCCAUUAUGAGGGCCAAUAUUUCCAAUGGGAAUGGGAACAAUCUGGAAAGGGGAUGUGUAACUUCAUGUCCCCUCAGCCAAGAAAGGAGGCCAGCUCCCUUCCCAGUCCUCUGGCCUAGUCGAAGUGCAAAUGUUCCAACCUGGGCUCUUCCAAUUCCCUAGGCAUCUGAAUGCCUGAAUGGUUUUGACACCAACUUCCCAGGGGCCCUGUUACCAAACCUAUUGCACAGUCACAAGGAUGGGACUAGGAUCCCCAACUGAACACCAACUUGCCAGGCUACAUUUACUCGGACUUGUGCAGGGAUGACUCGUUCUUGCACUGCUGCAGGAUAUAUUAACGUUUCCUCAGCACAGCCUUGUCAGACCCUCCCCUGGUGGAGCUCAGGACUCAGUUGUCGCACCUGGAUUUUUUUUCUAUGGAGUCAUUGCUCAUGUCAUUCCCAUUUUUGUUUCAUGUUCUUUCCAUCUUCCUGGCUAGACCUUGAACUCCUAGAGGGAAGACGUGGCUGCCUUACCAGCACUGGCACUAUGUGAAUUCUCAGAUGCUCAUUCCCAGUGGCUGACUGAAGAGUAGUCCCUGUUACCGCCACUGUUCCUAGAAUGCUGAGAGGCUUGGGGAGUACUGGUGAGACACCUCAGGACACUUUGGUGGUGGUGCCUGGAGACAUUUGUGGAAGUACAGGAGUUCCUAGGUGUCCCCAAUCCAUGAAUGUCCCUGUCCUGCACAAACCAGACGAAAUGCACAGUGGCUCUGAGGGGAUGAAGACUUGGCAGUCUUUAGUCAGCGACUAACCUGGAUGCUGCAGGUCCCUGAAACUACCACAUGAUCUCUGCUUGUUUCCCUCCUCUCUUCCUUUGCCAUUUGAACUCCCACCAUACGUGAAGAGGCUCAGGUGAUUGAUGUCUGAGAACAGGAUGCUGACUGUUCCCUCAGGUAAGAGUUAAGUGCCAGACCUGGGCAAACCACGUUGAGGACCUCCUAGCUCAGGUAUUUUAAUUGCCUCUUUGUGGAGUGUGAACCUCAGACCUUAACCUAGAGGACCUUGGUGCAGAAAAGCUUAGCAGAUGGAGGGGAAAAUGGAAACAGGAGUUGGAUAUAGAUGUUAGCCUCAGGGGAAAGAAUGUGGUUUGAGUUGGGAAAUGAGGAGGUGGGUAGGAGGGAAGGUGCAGAUAUAUAUCAGGUGGCCCUCCUGCCAUCUCACUCCCUCUCUCUCCAUAGUAAAGAAACAUGAACAAAUAUUAAUAGAACGUUCCCCAGGACAGGUGCUGGCCCCAGUCACAGCCAUUCAUUCGCUUUGUAAUUAACUCGACGGUGUUACUUUAACAUUAUUAUUUGAGUAUUUGAGUAUUAUUAUUUGAGGAGCACUGGGUUCAUGUACAGCCACCUCCCUGGGAAACCAGGUUUGCAAAAGCUUCCUGGGUCUCUUUGGGGGUGACAGGGAGGUCUCCACCUGGGGAGGAGACACCUGCCAGUCCCCUCCCACUGGCCUGGUCUCUGGAGCCCUCUGCCUGGCUCCCGGCUGUCAGGGUGGCGGGCAGGCGGUCAGAGCAUCUGGUGGGCGCAGCGAGGUGCGGUGGUGCAGACCCUGGCGCCCAGGAGCUGUGCCCCCUGC